rnacentral:rRNA from 1 species
UACGGAGGGUGCAAGCGUUAUCCGGAUUCACUGGGUUUAAAGGGUGCGUAGGUGGGUUGGUAAGUCAGUAGUGAAAUCUCCAGGCUUAACUUGGAAACUGCCAUUGAUACUAUCAAUCUUGAAUACCGUGGAGGUCAGCGGAAUAUGUCAUGUAGCGGUGAAAUGCUUAGAUAUGACAUAGAACACCAAUUGCGAAGGCAGCUGGCUACACGAAUAUUGACACUGAUGCACGAAAGCGUGGGGAUCAAACAGG